rnacentral:rRNA from 1 species
CAGCUGUAAACGAUGCAGGCUAGGUGUUUGGACGGCCACGUGCCGUUCUAGUGCCGCAGGGAAGCUGUUAAGCCUGCCGCCUGGGGAGUACGAUCGCAAGAUUGAAACUUAAAGGAAUUGGCGGGGGAGCACCACAAGGGGUGAAGCUUGCGGUUUAAUUGGAGUCAACGCCGGAAAUCUCACCGGAUAGGACAGACAUAUGAUAGUCGGGCUGAAGACUCUACUUGAUGAUCUGAGAGGUGGUGCAUGGCGUCAGUGACU